AAAUGAGGCACAGAGAGGGCCAGUGAGCCAUCUAAGGUCACACAGCAGGUUUGAGACAGAGUCAGGGCAAGGACCCAGCCCCCCUGCCCUCGCUCUUCUCACCCAGUAAGGAGACGCACCCUGCAUUGUCUGCUUAGGGCCGACCUGUCCUGCAAACACAAAUCCCUGACCUUGGGGGAAUUCACAGUCUGAUGCAGGAGGCAGCCAGGUUACAGCUGUCACAAGCUCAGGUGACAUGAAUGCUCAUGGAGGAAGCCCAGGGCAUCGGAUGGGCUCCUGAAGUCAUCUGAUGCACCCUGGGGGAUCAGGGACAACAGAGGACCUGCCAGAACAGUCUUGUAGGAAAAGCCGUGUGGAUUUCCCAGCACAGAGAGCAGCGCCAGCACCAUUUCAGCCCCGACUCUCUGAGGCCUCAGUCAUAGAACCAGCCAGUUCCCUCUGGAAGGAAGUGUGCUGGGAAGGUGGCCACUCAGACAGUGUGGGACCCCCUAUGGAGCAGACUGGCUGGAUCUAUGGGCGAGGGAAAGUUUCUUCCACCCUAGGAUGAGUGAAAGGUUGGUGGGGAAUGGAGCACAAGUCAUCAAGGUCAGGGACCACGUUUUCUGAAGGCCUCGGGCCUCAGAGGCUCUGGAAGGCCGUGGAGGCAGGAUGGCCCAGGAGCUGGGGAUGGCCAGAACACCUAGAGCCUCCAGGGCCUGCCCUGAGGACUAUGGCGAGGAGUAGCAUCAGCUCCGGGUGCUGAAGGAACCCCCUGGGCCUUGUGCAGGACACUCUUGACGGGAUGGCUGGGCGACGGAGCAGGGUGGCAUCAUCCAUCAAAUUCAACA
rnacentral:lncRNA from 10 species